CCGUAGAAUGCUGCGUGACUGUGACGUGUUUAAAUGGGCGUGCCCACUGAGUCUCAUUCAAACGCUGCAGCGGAGGGAGUUGCCAUGGAAACGGUGCGCAACACUGUAACUGAGUAAAUCUCUGUCUCUCGCUGCUGUUUUCACUGCUUUCUGGUGAGUUUAGUCCCUAAAAUCACACAAAUAUCACAUACAACUGUUCCAGACACUUUCUUACAUGUAACUGACAUGUUGCUGUUGAAUAUUUACUUCACAGAAAUGUUUUACAGUCUUCGAAAAAGUCUGCUAGCAUCUGUUUUCAGGCGAGGAGUGAUAAUAUAAUCUUUCUACAAAGGAAGAGAAGCUCCAAGAUUUAAAACUUUCUGAAGGGAGCUGCUGACAGAAAUGCAGGAAACACAGAUUAUGAUGGCCGUGCAGCAGAGGAGCGCAGAGUCUCCUGUCGGACAACAUCUCUAUGUCGCUAUGAACCAUGUGACUAGAUCCUAUGUACCCAGCCUCAACCAUUCAUCAGAAGGACUGUGAAAGCGGGAACUCUUUGAACCACCAGUGGCAGUUUCCACGGGAUGAAAAAGGGCAUAGUAGUGGAUGAUGAGGUCCUGAGACCAUAUGGGGUGAAGAUCAAGACAACCAAACCAAAGGUGGACUGUAACCUACUGGACUAUAUGAUAGACUUCAUACUGACCACUACUGCCAUGUAAGCAGCAUGAAAAGUUUUUGAAAAGAGGGGCAUUUCCUUCACCAAGUAAAAGUGUGGAGGAUUCAUCUGGCCUUCAUCGGCCCCCAUGAGGUGACUCGAUGUAGAAUAAAUCAGCUUGCUUUAGGCUUGAAAUGACUAGAAUCUUCUAA